rnacentral:rRNA from 1 species
AACGAACGCUGGCGGCAUGCCUAACACAUGCAAGUCGAACGAGACCUUCGGGUCUAGUGGCGCACGGGUGCGUAACGCGUGGGGAUCUGCCCUUUGCUUCGGAAUAACAGUUAGAAAUGACUGCUAAUACCGGAUGAUGACUUCGGUCCAAAGAUUUAUCGGCAAAGGAUGAACCCGCGUAGGAUUAGCUAGUUGGUGGGGUAAAGGCCUACCAAGGCGACGAUCCUUAGCUGGUCUGAGAGGAUGAUCAGCCACACUGGGACUGAGACACGGCCCAGACUCCUACGGGAGGCAGCAGUGGGGAAUAUUGGACAAUGGGCGAAAGCCUGAUCCAGCAAUGCCGCGUGAGUGAUGAAGGCCUUAGGGUGUAAAGCUCUUUUACCCGGGAUGAUAAUGACAGUACCGGGAGAAUAAGCUCCGGCUAACUCCGUGCCAGCAG